ensembl:lncRNA
GUCCUAGCAAAAAGAGACGCCCAAUCUGAGCAGGGUGCACAGCCUGCUGCCCUCGGCUCAGCCCCCAGCCUUAAGGCUUCACUGCAGGCAGUGAGGAGCAGUGGUGCGAGCUGUGGCUGCCCUGGUCUGGCACACCGCUCCCAGCCCAAGAGCCAAGGCCAUCCCUUUGCUGCUGUUUCCCAUGUAGGAGAUGCUUUGGCUGAGAGUGAGGGCUGAGAAAGUGGCACUUCUCACUCAAAAAACAUCCUGCCCAGCAAAUCUAGCCAGGAGCACAGCGUGGGAACGGCACGGGGCAGCAGUGUGAGCCAGGGACGGAGACCCAGCGGGGAUGUGAGCAGCCCCAGCACAGGCAGCAGUGACAGCACGGAGAGACGACAGCGGCAAUUUGCAGCAGGGCUGCUGAGCGCUGUCACCGCCAAUCGCUGUCACCGCGUCGCCUCCCCGACCUCACCUGGGCAGCAGCUGAGCUCCAGGUCUCCUCACCUCAUUAGCAAUGGUUCCAUCAUUACCGCUCUGUGUGCACUCCCCUCUGUGCUGGGCCCUGCGGGGAUGAGCUGUGGGGUGAUCAGGUGUCCUGCCAUGCCUGGGGGGUUCAGGUGUCCAGGGCCAGCCCCAGCAGCUCCUUGAUGUCCCCACCCUGCUCUUGGCGUCCCCCCCCCCAACACCCAACACCCAGCGUGUCAGUUCCAAUGCAGCCUGGAUUCACCCUGGGAUGAUGCGUGUCCCCUGGAGGAUGCUGCAGUUCCCCCCCUCCCCUUGUCUCCAGUGUCCCCAGAGAUAUGUUCUGCAUCCCCAAAACUCAGCGCAGUGCUGCCCUGCCUGUACCUGUGCCAUUAUUCCCCCAGGAGCUGUGGAGCUGUCAGGUCCCUGCUCAAAGGCUAGAACAACCACCCCCUGCCCCCCCCUUCAGGGACCAGCAGCCCCCUGGGCCAGUUCUGGUGCCCUGUGCUCUAGAACAGAGCCUGUGUCCCAUUACACCCAGUGCCCUCCUGGUGCCAUGGGUGUGCAGGGACAUGAGGCCCCAGAACCUCAUCUCUCGACUCUUUCCCACUGAGAAAAGCAGGAGAGAAGAGGUGUUUCUCCUUCUCCUCCUCUUUACCCUUCCAAAUCCAGGGUUUUAAUAUCC